rnacentral:rRNA from 1 species
UACGUAGGGUGCGAGCGUUGUCCGGAAUUACUGGGCGUAAAGAGCUCGUAGGUGGUUUGUCGCGUUGUUCGUGAAAACUCACAGCUUAACUGUGGGCGUGCGGGCGAUACGGGCAGACUGGAGUACUGCAGGGGAGACUGGAAUUCCUGGUGUAGCGGUGGAAUGCGCAGAUAUCAGGAGGAACACCGGUGGCGAAGGCGGGUCUCUGGGCAGUAACUAACGCUGAGGAGCGAAAGCCAGGGGAGCAAACGGG